CCAGCAUCCCUCGCGCUAUCCGGUUGCUCUUCUCCCGCGUCUCUAUGAUAGAGCCGGCCUGGGAGGCUGCAGCGGCGGUGGGGGCUGUGGUAAGGCGAAGUGAGAGGUCCAGCUUUCUUACUGGACUGAGAGGUUUUGGCCGCGGAGGGUCGCGAUGUCAGAGAAAAAACAGCCGGUAGACUUGGGUCUGCUGGAGGAGGACGACGAGUUCGAGGAGUUCCCUGCAGAAGACUGGGCUGGUUUAGAUGAAGAUGAAGAUGCACAUGUCUGGGAGGAUAAUUGGGAUGAUGACAAUGUAGAGGAUGACUUCUCCAAUCAGUUACGAGCUGAACUAGAGAAACAUGGUUAUAAGAUGGAGACAUCAUAGCAUCCAGAAGUGCUGAAGCAACCUAAACUUGAACUGUUUACUAAAUUCUAGAGCAGAGAACCCAGGAUGGGACACUUAAAAAAUGUUUAUUUCAUUACCUCCUUGGAUUUAUUUUUGUUUUUGUAACACACAAAAUAAAUGUUUUGAUCUAA